GUCACCGGGCGGUUUGGGAGCCCCAGGCCAGCCGCGCAGGACGCCCCGCUUCCGGUUACCUCACAGUUGAACUCCAUCUCGGCGUCCAUGCUUCAAAUUUUUCAAGCCUCCCUCCUCCGUCCCAAAGGCUAUCUCAGAUAAGGCAGCGGAAAAAAUGCACGCGAGACUAAAUGUUCUCGGAAAUCAUGCAAUCGACCUGCAAUGAAAGAGCUCAUCUGAAUGAGUGGAAGGACAUGGUAGCAAAGUACAGGAAAGAUGCCAGUGAAUGUGAGGACAGGAGGGACGCUCGAGAUGAGAGGUGGAGGCAGGAAGACCAGAGGAGGCAGGAAGACCAGAGGAGGCAGAAUGCUACUGCGGGAUCAAACGGACAUGCUCCGGCAUCUGGUGGAGCUUCAGGAACGGCAACAGGAUCACAGAGUGCCGCUGCAGCCCCUGUAUAACCGCCCUCCCCAAGUUCCAUAGCCUCCUUACCCAGACGUAUAAGAACAUGGGAGGGGGAGGCUCCGUGCACCCUGCCACUCCACCCCAGUGGACAGCCCAAGCAAAAGGCUGUCAUUAUUUUGAACUUCUGAAGUGGCCUUUUCCUUCCCUCCUCCCCUCCUCCCACACCCCAUCCGGGCUACCUUGUCAGUUUUCUCCCUCUUUUUAUAAUCAAUUAAUAAAAUGAUUUUUAAACGAUA